UAAAGAUUACUAGCCAAAACAAAACAUGCGCGAGAAAAGGAAAAAAAUCUCCCCCUUGGAUCAUAUAAUCAAGCCUCCACAUUUUCACAGUCUCUUUUUCCUUCCAACAGUGUGCUAAAUAUAAACAGUCCUUUAGCUCUACCAAGUAAGCACUGGCAUCAGGAAUUUCUAGUUUUGGGCAUGAAAUGAUUUUGGAUUCUUCCUCAUCCAAAUCAAAGGCAAGAAACUUUUGGUAGCAAGAAGCUUCUGAUAUGUUCUAUAAAAUAUCAGCCAAAAAAUCACAACAUUCACAGAAACAGAAGGCUCGCUAAGGUAUGCAAAAGGCCAUGAUUCAGUCAAUCUCCAUGAAUCUGAUUUGAAUAAACAUGAAAGAUUAUGAUACGAAAUUACUGAAUAAAUAUAAGCAUCCGUAAUAGGCCAGAAUCCUUUCUGUUGAGAGAGUGUUCCAAAAUUCAACUUGAAGAAAUGUGUUUUAUGAAACAGUAAUUUUCUUUAAGUGAUGUUCCACGUGGCUGUUGAUUAUUGGCAACUACAUUAUGACCCGGAUUGUGCUACUUGAAACAAGAUAUGAACCGCUAGAUUAAAUCUUGUUGGUGUGAUUAAAUCAAAUUGUCACUGACUUGUGGGCUGUUUUUCUUGGAAGACAAAAGACUCUCUCUCACGUCUCAUUCUCUCAAAAAAGGGCUGGUCAUUUUCUCUCUCUCCUUGUGCGAAAAUAUCCUUUUCUUCUUAGUGAUUUUAGGGUUAAUUUUCUGAAAAUAAUCUUAGUAAACAGCAUGAAAUACUCGAGAUCUAUAUGGGGGUUGUGCUAUUUUGAUCUUUAUUGAGUUGAAUCUGUGUGACUCAUUGUUGGCCAAUUUUUCUUGUGAAAUUUUAGUGUUUUUCGGCCUAUUCUUGUAAAUUAAAGUGGCUGAUUUGUUGGGUUCCUUGGUGGAAUAUUACUUGCUGUGAAAGAAGAGAUUAUAGUUGUUUUGUGAGAGAGGGGUAGUUCGGGUAUCUUGAGUUUUUUGUGAUCUUGGCCAGUUUCUUUGUGCAAUAGUGGCUGAUUUCUGUGAUUCUAGAAAAGAUAAGUCUUAGUGACUCAUUUGUUGUAAUUUCUGGAACAUUAUUGUAUAUUUACUGCCUGAUUUUGGAGCUUUAUAGUGCAACCAACCUUUAUCCAUUUUAAUGAAUACUUAACAGGGGAUUAGGCGUUAAAAGUGGUCGUCGAACCUCUAGGGUUGCGGCCUAAAAAAUCUCUGUGUUGAUUUUAUUUUAUGCACUUUUAUUACUGUUGAUAUUGUGGUUUGUGAAUUCGAUUUAAUCUUGGAUACUCCUCGACUUUUCACUUUCGUUAACCGUGUCCACGAUGGACACAUGAAGAGUGGAAUCUCUGAAAAGAUUCCAAAAAAUAGAUAAGAUUUUUGAUGAAGUCAAGUCAUUGGCGGUGCACUGCUUUGACAAAUCCAGGAUGAGGAGAAGAUAUCAAGCUAUGCCGUUCUUUAGAAACACAAGUGAACCUACAAAGAGACUUCUCAGGGAAUCUUGAUAGCACGUCGACUAAUAUGUCGGUUGGUAGUUCAUUCAAUCUCAUUCUUGUCUUCUCUAUGCCUUGUCCUUCCAUCAAAAGACGGAGGAAGAUAUUUGCUAUGUGUAUAUCUCUUUCUGUGGAAGAUUGUGAUCAAAGAUUUCUUUGAAUUAAUUGGAGUAUUUGUAGAUGGAUUAACUUUCUCGGGGCAUUGUUUUUUCUAUGUGAAUUCAUAGUGUAGAAGAUUAAAUUGGGUAGGAUUAGGAGUGCACAGUAUAUUCUUGCCGAUUUACAUUACGCCUACAAAAAAGAUAAAAAGUUUAAGCUACUGGUGGCAAACUUCAUUAGUAGUAUGAAAAGACAUAUUUGACACAAUUUUUAUAACUUUUUUAAUAUUUAAAAAUGAUACACAAUGUCACUUUUAUUUAAAAAAUGAUGAUAUUUGUCACAAAAAAGUGAUAGAAAUCAAGAAGAUGAUCCAAAAAAAGGGACAAGUACUAUGUGUCAAAAAUUAAAAAAAAAAAAAAAGUGAAACAAUUAAAAAAAUUAUACGGAUUUAAAAGUGAUAAACACUAAAAAGUGAC
rnacentral:lncRNA from 1 species